ACCUCCUUUUCCUCUUUUGCUUUCGUCGCUCUCUCUCCGUCUCAUCGAUCUCUGCUUGGCUCUCUCUCGGUCUCAUCUCUGCUUGGCUUUCUCUCCGACGCAGCAGUCCCUUCUUCUCUUCAUUGAGUCUCUCCUUAUUUAGGUUAUCUUUGGAGUUCCAGUCGGGUGGUGCUUCGGGUUUGGUGGUUGGGUUUGUGUCACCGACGCUUUUGGCUUCUUCCGUCUUCCAAAGUGAAAUUAGUUCUAUCUUGAUAGUGAUCGCGUUGAUUCGGCCUUGAUCACAUUCGCUCAGAUUUUGGCAUUGAAAUAGUAUACGUAGCUCCAAGUUUCUAUGCUGCCAUGAUUGAAGACGAUGAUCAGUUAGACAUAG